GAAGAGAACAAACGUAAUAUAUCGUCAGGCGCCUAUUUCCCAUUUGGCGAAGGCCCGCGCCAAUGCAUAGGUACUCGUUUGGGAUUAUUGCAAACAAAACUUGGGAUUAUUAAAAUUUUGAGCAAAUACGAAGUGACGCCAUGCGAAAGGACUUUGAUACCAAUGGUAAUUGAUCCAAAAGCUCCUACGACAACACCAUUAAGUGGCGGUCUGUACCUGAACAUCCAGAAAAUUAAUAACGCUAAUUAAAAUUUGAUGAGAGUUAUUACUUUCAAGCUACAAGAUGUACACGAUUCGACUAAUGCUCAGUAAAAUUUUCUUUAAUAGGAGAACGCGAUUCGAUGAACGCGUUAAUUUAUAAGACUUAAGAUUAUCAGAAUAUAUUUAUUAGAAAAUAUAAAACUAUAUUUAAAAAUAUAAAAGAUGUAAAUGAUAUUUAACACUAAGCCCUCAUCAUCAUGAUUCUUUAAUCAUUAAAAUAUAUUCCUUUAAAAAAGA